AGUGAGAAGGCAGAGUGGUUAUGUGCGCCGCUGUAGACGGUGUUCAAGGGAGUUCGAUUCUCUCUCUCAUUA
rnacentral:tRNA from 1 species